CGUUUUAGAGUGAAGAAAAGGAAAAGUUUUUGCAUUUUUGAUUAUUUUUCAUUAUUAAACUUAGGUUUUCGAUUUUCCAUAUUUGUCAAAAUUCUCAAAUUUUCGGAAAUCGCUUUUUCUCUCGCAAAUUUUUAGUUUUGGAAAUUGGUCUUUCUCUCUUAUUUUAACUAUUCUCCACCCGCUGUAAAGUAAAAAAAUAGAAAAGUUUUUGCAUUUUAGAUUAUUCUUCAAUAUUAAACUUAGGUUUUCAAUUUUCCAUAUUUGUCAAAAUUCUCAAAUUUUCGGAAAUCGUUUUUUCUCUCGCAAAGUUUUCCUUUUUAAAAUAAGACCUUCUCGCUUU